UACGUAGGGUCCGAGCGUUGUCCGGAAUUAUUGGGCGUAAAGGGCUCGUAGGCGGUUAGUCGCGUCGGGAGUGAAAACUCAGGGCUCAACCCUGAGCGUGCUUCCGAUACGGGCAGACUAGAGUCAGGUAGGGGAGAACGGAAUUCCUGGUGUAGCGGUGAAAUGCGCAGAUAUCAGGAGGAACACCGGUGGCGAAGGCGGUUCUCUGGGCCUGUACUGACGCUGAGGAACGAAAGCGUGGGGAGCGAACAGG
rnacentral:rRNA from 1 species